rnacentral:rRNA from 1 species
AAAGUAAAAAAUCGUAACAAGGUUUCCGUAGGUGAACCUGCGGAAGGAUCAUUGACGAGGCCCGUUUAUAAGGAAACGAAGAGGUCGUCUGUGCACCAGUCCGGCACCAUCGUUUCGUAGGUGGUGAUUCCGCCGACCCAAUGACGCAAAUUGGGCGCCCAGAUGUGUUGUUGUUGUACCACGAUCAUGUGGUGCGUUCUCUAGUGUUCGUACUUAGGACGUCGCGCGUGAACGCAAAAUCUUGGCGCUGAUUUAUGUGCCAAGGAAUCGACGAGAUGAAGAACUAACAUGUAUGGUACGUACCCCAUGUUGGUCUAUAAGAGGGGUGCUUAGUUCUAGCUACUUCGAUCGAUAAGCGGUUGCGAUCGAUGAAAACGACUCACGGCAACGGAUAUCUCGGCUCUCGCAUCGAUGAAGAACGUCGCAAAAUGCGAUACUUGGUGUGAAUUGCAGGAUCUCGUGAACCAUCGAGUCUUUGAACGCAAGUUGCGCCCGAGGCAACUCUGCUGAGGGCACGUUUGCCUGGGAGUCACGCAAUGUGCCUUUACCAUCCUUAUGGAGCACCGCUCGAUUUGGGGAUGUGUGGCGUUGGUUGGCCUCCCGAACGCUUAAACCUGUUUGGCCGGCUUAAAUGCGAUGUUCCUUGUGGUUGGUUGUAUCAUUUGAACGCGAUGAGCGUUUGUCGCGUGGCCGCUCGACUUCGCAAGUCGUUGCAUCGGGAUGGUCGAGAUCAUUAGGUACUGUUGAAGAUAGAGAGACCCUACGUUUCACGGUCGAGGAUUUCGUUGGUUUCGUUUGGGACCCCAGGUCAGGCGGGAUCACCCGCUGAGUUUAAGCAUAUCAAUAG